rnacentral:rRNA from 1 species
GAACGCUGGCGGUGCGCCUUAUGCAUGCAAGUCGAGCGAAGCUUUUCAGUAGUUUACUACAGAAAAUGACUGAGCGGCGAACGGGUGAGUAACGCGUGAGCAACCUACCUUAGUUACUGGGAUAGCCCGAGGAAACUCGGAUUAAUACCGGAUAUUCUUAUUUAAUCACAUGAUUUUUUAAGGAAAGGUCAGCCGAACUAAGAUGGGCUCGCGUUCUAUCAGCUAGUUGGUAGGGUAAUGGCCUACCAAGGCUACGACGGAUAGCUGGUCUGAGAGGACGAUCAGCCACACUGGGACUGAGACACGGCCCAGACUCCUACGGGAGGCUGCAGCAGGGAAUAUUGCGCAAUGAGCGAAAGCUUGACGCAGCGACACCGCGUGUGGGAUGACGGAUCUAGGUUUGUAAACCACUUUCAGGAGGGAAGAAAAUGACGGUACCUCCACAAGAAGCCCCGGCCAACUAC